AUCCCUUUUCCGACCAAGCCUUGUCUCCUGCACACGAUUCCCCCAACCAGAAGUCGUGCACCGCUCCGAGCUCCUUCCCCCGAUGAGAACGCGCGAUACCUCGCCGGCAGGUGCUCCUUCCCUCAACUAGGGCUUGGCCCGGCGGCACCUGCAACAACAACGAGCAGAAGUGCUCCCUUCCCCCCAAAUCUAGCACUUCUGCGCGUGAUACCUCGCCGGCAGCAGCACGUGCACCUAUCCGCAGCAAUCCCCGGCAAAAAUCCGACACAGGCACCGACCUCCAUCGCCGGAUUUCGUCCUGCAUCCCACACACAGUCUUCAGUCUUCAGUCAGAAUAUGGUACUGACCCUUCUUCUUACCUGCAGAAUGAAUUCCUCAGUUGGAUCUGCUGGAAGAAUUAUGGAAGAGGUACCAAAUGAGGGGAGUGAUGUCCUUGGUGAAAGAAGUAUGAAAGAGCAACAGAGUGACAAGGAUGAUGUUUAUGUUGAAAGAGAGAUGGAGCAAGUAUCAAGUCAUGAUGAUGAUGUGUUGAGGGAAGCAAGUCAUGAUGAUGAUAUGUUGAGGGAAGCACUGCUUGAAACUGGGCAGUUUACAGGUGCCAUGAGCAUUGAUCAGAUUGAUACAGAUGACUUUGGACAUGAAGAUGGAGAGACUAAAGACGAGGGGGUCCAAUCUCAACCUGCAGUCCCUACUGUUGGUAUGGAGUUCUUUUCAGAAAAAGAAGCUCAAGAUUACUACAAUCGUUAUGCAAAGAACUGGGGUUUCGGAACAAAGAUUUCAAGCAACAAAAAAAGCAAUGUCACCAAGGAGUACAACAGAUAUGAGUUUGCUUGCUACUUUGAGCGCACAAGCCAGAAAAAGAAUCCAAAGUCAAGCGCUAGCAGUGGGUCAAAAAACUGCGAGAGUUUGGGAAAACCCAAAGGCAACGCAAGAAAAUCUCAGCGUUAUGAGGAGGAAAUUCAUUGA
rnacentral:lncRNA from 1 species